UUAACUACAUUAUUUUGCUUUCUGGAAGUGUCUUCUGUCUUUUGUUUUGUUGGAAUAUGGCAACAUCAUUUUUCUUUUUAAAUUUCUUUGUUACUAGCAAGUUUUUGAAUUAUGUUAUUGGUGAUUGUCAUGCAUUAUCAAUUUGUUGUUGGUUAUUUUUUUAUUAAAAAAAAACACUUAAGUAGGCUAAUUUCCACUUGUCAUCCCAGAACUUAGGGCACUUUAAAG
rnacentral:misc_RNA from 1 species